rnacentral:lncRNA from 10 species
CGGCCCGAGCGCCUACGCGCGCCCCUCCGGCGCUUGUCGCAGAGGCUGCCGGGAGACGUAGUCUUGUAACGCUCUCUCGCCGGACAUUCCUAAUGGUUAGCGCCCAGCCUGUGAAGAGUCGGGGGUCGGGGAGGGGGUCUCGCUAAGAAGGAGGUUUGCAGACCAUGGCAAAGACUGGAGCUAGAGAUUCGCUGGCCUUGAAGAAGCAAGCUGUCAUGUUGCGAACUGCCUAUGGAGAAAACUAAAUGGCAGGGAACUGCAGACGGCUUCUAGAACUUGAGCGCAGCCUGCAGCUGACAACCAGUAAGAAGCCAGGGCCCUCAGUCACACAACCACAAGGAAAUGAAUUCUGCCAACAACCUGAGAGGUGGCCUCCAGAUGAGAAGACAGCCUGACUUAAACCUUGAUAGCAGUUUUGUGAGACCCUGAGCAAAGAAAACAGAUAAACUGUGCGUAGACUCCUGGUCUACAGAAACUGUGAGAUAAUAAAUGUGUCUUAAGAUACUAUGUUUAUGGUAAUUUAUUAUACAAUAGAAAACUAAUACACUAGACAUUGCUGGAUUAUUUCA